UUUUUAAAAAAUUAGGAUCUUGAGGGAGAAGGACCUGAGAAUUUUUUUCCCACCAGAAAGAGACCCCCUCCCCAGAAACUCUAAAACUAUCUGGAUCUCGUGCAUGCCUGCUCCUGGAACCCUCCUACAGGAGUGGGAGAUGUGACCUUAGCUCGAGAUCCUGGAAUCCAGAGACAGCCAUGUGCAUUGCCCCAGGUUGUGUUGGGGUUCUGGGGUCCAGCAGAUCUCCAGUCUUCCACCUUCUCCUAGCCUGCCCUCCCACCAGCCAGGGGUCCCCCUAGUGCCCCUCACCCCCACCCCCAGGCUUGCUGCACAGCCGGAUGUCUUCAUAUCUCCUUCAGAAUUAACAGGAGCAGGAAUUUCAGUUGAGCCCUUGGGGUGAGACAGGUAUAGAUCAGAAUGAGGAAACCAGACCCCCCUCCACCUGAGUUCUUGUUGUUCUACAACACAACUCUAGCAACUAUAGUUCCAACCAUCUAAACCCAAUCCCAAUGAUUAGAGCAUCAGGAGAAACCUGGGCAGCAAAUGCCCCCUUGGUGAGCAUGGUGGGCUGGGCAAAUGGAUCAGAGGUGAAAAGGAAAAGUGAGGGUGCCCCUGUGCCCUGACUCUGCUGGAAGUCUCUAGAAGACUCCUGUGUCCCUGAUAUAGGGCUCCACUCCUCAUGCCCCACCCCCCUGUCUCAUGGUGAUGGACUCAGGCAGCCCCUCAUGCUGCACACAGCCUGUGUAUCUCUCUUCAUCUCCAGAAGGCAGCACAAUGGCCACCCACUUCUGGAUGGUUCCAUCCCCUUCUGCAUCGUCUCCACAGCUCCUUGUACUAGGUCUGGUGCUCCCUGGCCCACUGCCAGGUCACGGUCAUCUCUGUAGGGCAGGAGCCCAGGGCACACAGCCCCUCAGGGUGACCCCAUAGUCAGGGGGUUGGGGGUGGCUUACAUGUGCUCUAGGAGGCUCUAUGGAAAAGCAAACAGGGAGCACUAAGGCAAGGCCUUCUAGAAAAGCAUCAACUCCACAGACCAAGAUGGGAUACCUGCUGAGGCUCUGGUUGCCUGCCAGGGUGAGGCAGGGAGUGUUCCCUAUCAGGGGGCAGAAGGAACCAGCACUAGCCAGGCCCAGGCCCAAGACAAGAGGGUGGGAACCGCCUCUGACAUUUUCCUCCAAGGGAAGAGCCUUUUCAGAGACUCUCCACCUGUUUAUGAAGCCUCUAACUCAGUACCUCUAGCUCAGUAUUGAUAGGUCCUCACAGCUACUGUGUCUCUGGUGAGAAAGAGCCUGAAGAGUGAGAAACCUCCAUGAGCCUCCAUGAGCCUCAGAGCUACUGCCGUGCUCUCCUGAGAGAACGGUCCCCAGCGUGGGCCUAAGUGUGUGCCAUGGCACUGCCCACGGGACUCAGGAUGGGCCGCUGUCCUCAGCGCAUGGCCCGCCAUCCCACACUAGAUGUUCUCCAUCACUGUGUGUGAGUAGCUCUGGAGAGAGGGCAGCCCCAGGCUGAGCUGGGAGGAGCUGCAGGGCUGGGCUGUGGGGAGUCCUUACCAGUGCGGCUGAUGUUCUUGUCCCAAACCCCAAGUGUCUCUGCAGCGACAGGAAGAGCAGCUUCUCGAGUCCAUCUUGUCCCUCCAUGAAGUGCCCACUGGCCUCCCGUCUCUGCUGGGGUAGCGGCAACGAUGAGACUACCAUGGAUGGCAGAGGCUCCAUGUCCAAACUCAGUCUGUCAUUGUCCUAGUCAUCCUGUCACCACCUCAGGGUCCCGUUAUCCUCCUGGAGCUCCAGCCACUGUGACCUGCAGGGUGGGGGGCCUGCCUACUUCCUCCCCAGGACAGGCAGUGUCUGUCAGGGCAGAGCAUGCCUCCAGAGCCCCCCAGCAUUUUUCCCUGUGCCCCACCCCCACCAGCUUCUUCAUAGGAAACAUUCACUCUCUAGACUGUGCUAGUGUGACACAGUAAGAAGGACGGACUUGGUCUUCCUCUUCCUGCACACAGUUCUUAACACCUUUGUAAUGGCCUGAGUGAUGGGAGUCAUAGGAGCAUCUCUUCCUAGAUUUUGUUCCAACAUCUUAAAAAAGUUCUGGAAAGAUCUUGCCCCAUCCUUAUACACUGUACCAAACCCCACUGCAUACCGUCUCUGUCCUUUGAUGCUGUGAGCCCUGAGAAGGCAGGACUCUGUUAGGGUCUGAAACAGAACCAUCUGGCAAACUGUGGAAUUCACGCUUCUGUAUAGAUCAGCUGGGAAGGUCUGAGCAGCCUUCCUCUUCAGCUCUAAUCAUGCCUCUCACUGGUUUAUGCCUGGAUCCCACAUGCAAGGCCCUCCACUGACUGUUUCAUAUGCUAAACCCUCAAGACCUUAACUAAAAAUGAUUAACUACACCUAUGUCCUGACCUCCCUGUGUCCAAUGUCACCCACACCUUGCCCAGCCUGACAGUUGACUGCUAGGAACCUCACCCCCCUUCAACCUAGAUCGUACACACACAUCAGGGUCUACACAGAGUUCCAGCUCAUUCAUGAACCUUCCCCCAACCACUGGGGGUCUGGCCUAUGAACCCUGUAAACUGUGUUUCUGCUUCUCAUGUGACAUCUAAGGAGGCGUCUGUCUUCAGUAGCUCUCAGUCUGCCUCACACCCUCAGUCACGUGCUCUCAGAAGUGUGGGCGCCUCCCUGUUUUCACUGUAGGCUCUGUGAGGACAACCACUAGCUUAUACCUUCUGGUUCCUUCCCUAGAGGGACCUAAACUGUGUCCAUGACCACUGAGUCUGGUUAGUUAACCACUUAAUGACACAAGGACCCCGUCUGCCUGAGCAGACUUUCCCCCCUUCACUUUCACAUGACAGCUUGUGCACACCUGCCUGCCCCAGCCUGACAUGGGGGGGCACCUGACAGGAGGGUAUCAUGCCCCUGGGGGUCAGGGUCAGGGGUGUGCUUGACUCCCUCUGCUUUCUCCCAGGCCCCAAGCUGCUGGCUGUCUUGGCUGCUCUUUGUCCAGACUGAGCCCUGGGGUUUGGCGGUAGGGUCGCUGCACAUUCCUCAGGUUUCGGGGGUUACUCUUCAUCUGGCUUGUGAAGAUCUUGGUCUCGUUGUCUGAAGAACUUGGCUAUUGCGUGCACCACUGGACUCCAGACUGUCUCCAACUCCUCACGGUCAUGGCAGAGGAAGUUGGCUGAUCUGUGGAGCCCAAGGCAGGAAACGCAGGGCCUCCUGGAGCGGAUUCGACUCUGCUGAGGGGGAAUACUGCAGAGAGCACUGUCCUGAGGGAGGAAGUGGGGGCUUCGGAGGAGGCUCCAGGAUUUACUGAGUGAGGACCUAGUGAUGCACAGCCGUGUAAAGAUGACAGGCAGAUCACGCCCCAAAGCUGUGUGAGAGCUGAACGUGUGAGCACAUGCUGUCCGCGCUCAGGAUGCAACGGAAAUCAUCAGCCACUGUAAAAGAGAACCGUUUGAAGAACAUUAUAAAUGAGCUGCAUGCAGGAACAUCCUGGGAACAGUAGAACUUUCUAUAAUAGUACUGACUGGUGAUAAGAGCGGCAAACAUGGAAAUGGUGUCAUCAGAAGCUCGCCCUGUCCUCUGAGUCAUGAAGCUGAGUGCCGUACGUGGUGACCGAGGCUGUGACCAGACUGUUGCCUGUCCCCGCGGGCUGUCCCUGCUUCUGCUGGCGGACCCCUGUGUCUACCAGAGUGAGACACGUGUGGGGAAAAGUUAUCAGUCUGGCAAUAAAUCCUUAUCCGUGUCGUUUCAAGUA